rnacentral:rRNA from 1 species
CGAGUGAAGCGGCAAUAGCUCAAAUUUGAAAUCUGGAGCCUUCGGCUUCCGAGUUGUAAUUUGAAGAGGAUGUUUCGGUUGCGAUCUGGGCCUAAGUUCCUUGGAACAGGACGUCAUGGAGGGUGAGAAUCCCGUACAUGGCUGCAGGUUUGCUUCUAUGUGAAACUCCUUCGAAGAGUCGAGUUGUUUGGGAAUGCAGCUCAAAAUGGGUGGUAAAUUUCAUCUAAAGCUAAAUAUUGGCGAGAGACCGAUAGCGCACAAGUAGAGUGAUCGAAAGAUGAAAAGCACUUUGAAAAGAGAGUUAAACAGUACGUGAAAUUGUUGGAAGGGAAGCGCUUGCAAUCAGACUCACUUGCGGUUGAUCAACGUUCCUUCUGGUUCGUGCACUCUGCCGUUUGUGGGCCAGCAUCAGUUGGUGCGGUGGGACAAAGGCAGCAGGAAUGUGGCUCCCCCGGGAGUGUUAUAGCCUGCUGUGUAAUGCCACCAGCGCCGACUGAGGUCCGCGAUUCGUCUAGGAUGCUGGCUUAAUGGUUGU